GCGGCGUCGGCGGCCUCAGUGGUGUCAGCGGCUGUUUCUGGGUCGGCCUGCACCUGCCGAAUUCCUCGACCGCUCAGAGCUGAGCGCGCUCGUCUGGGCUGCAGAAGGGACGGUCACGCCCGGCUCUCGGAGCUGUCUGUGGCCGUCCGGGCCUGCUCCGAGCAGCUCCUGUUGCUGCCUGCGGGAGAAACUCCUUGUCUCCGGUAGCCAGACUGGUGUUUAUUGCCUUGUGCCUGUUCCUGGGGGAUCUGGGGUUUGUGGAACCUUGUGGAAAGAGAAACUGUAAACAGCGCUUCAGCUCGGAAAGAGAAAAACCCUCAUUCACCAUGAGGAUACAGACUGUCCGGAAACCUCAUGGAUGUCUUCUGGACGAAGCCACUUAAAUCCCUUGUUUGGCUGGAAAAGAAUCGAGGGGAACACCUUUCUGAGAUCGUACUGGGAUGAUCAGGGCAGGUGCAGGCUGGGACUGCGUAUAUAAACCCAUGCGUUAUGUGAUAUUCUGACAGAGCUAAAACGGUUUCUCUUUCGGAAACACAAGAUG